rnacentral:rRNA from 1 species
AGGAUUAGAUACCCUGGUAGUCCACGCCGUAAACGGUGGGCGCUAGUUGUGGGAACCUUCCACGGUUUCUGCGACGCAGCUAACGCAUUAAGCGCCCCGCCUGGGGAGUACGAUCGCAAGAUUAAAACUCAAAGGAAUUGACGGGGCCCCGCACAAGCAGCGGAGCAUGCGGCUUAAUUCGACGCAACGCGAAGAACCUUACCAAGGCUUGACAUAUACAGGAAUAUGGCAGAGAUGUCAUAGCGGUAAAACGUCUGUAUACAGGUGGUGCAUGGUUGUCGUCAGCUCGUGUCGUGAGAUGUUGGGUUAAGUCCCGCAACGAGCGCAACCCUCGUUCUGUGUUGCCAGCAUUUAGUUGGGGACUCACAGGAGACUGCCGGGGUUAACUCGGAGGAAGGUGGGGAUGACGUCAAAUCAUCAUGCCCCUUAUGUCUUGGGCUGCACGCAUGCUACAAUGGCUGGUACAAAGGGCUGCAAUACUGCAAAGUGGAGCGAAUCCCAAAAAGCCAGUCUCAGUUCGGAUUGGGGUCUGCAACUCGACCCCAUGAAGUCGGAGUUGCUAGUAAUCGUAGAUCAGCAACGCUACGGUGAAUACGUUCCCGGGGCUUGUACACACCGCCCGUCACAUCACGAAAGUCGGUAACACCCAAAGUCAGUGGCCCAACC